GGCGACCGGAUUACAAUUCCAGCCAGCAUGAACACGGGACGGCGCGCAGUCCUGAAGGGCGAAGCAGGGCUGCGCCGGGCUUGCUGUACAUGCUGGGAGCUGUAGUCUUUUCACCGCUCCCGCCCGUUGUUUCAAGCGCUUCGGGACUACAAUCCCAGCAUGCCCCGGGCUCGGGGGCGGGGCGCAGUUCUUGUGGGAGGAGCGGGGCGGUGCGCGCCUGGCCGGGCAGGCUGGAAACGGUAGCUCUUAACUGUUCCCCGCCCGUUGAUGACGAGGCGGCUGGACUAGAAUCCCAGCAGGAGACAUGCGAGGAGGCGGGCAGCCCAAGAGGGUUGGGCAGGGCAGUGUGGACCUCGCCGCUUCCACAGCGAUGCUGGCUACUGAUCGCGGGCACCUCCUUGCCAUGGGAUUCUGGUUCCCACUGCUCCCACCUGCAGACAGCCCAUAGCUGGUUGCAUCUUGUCAGAGGCAAACACCCGGAGAUGGAGAUGUGUGUCUCAGUCCUAAGCCCAAGUCUCCAGAGAAGAGCAUCUGGAGGGCCCUCCAGGGUCCAUCCCAACCCAAAUCUUCUGUAGUCAAGAACAAGGAGCCAGUGGUGCAGACACAGAUGCAGUUCCAUCGCUUGGGCCCCACCAAGGAAAGAAGCAGUUCUCAGAGACUAGAGUGGAGGAUGGAGACAGGCUGGGCCCACACCCCCAUGCCCCACAGGUACCUACUACGACUCCCCAGAAAUAAACAUUUCCCCAG
rnacentral:lncRNA from 1 species